UACGAAGGGGGCUAGCGUUGCUCGGAAUUACUGGGCGUAAAGGGCGCGUAGGCGGCGCGGUUAGUCAGGCGUGAAACUCCUGGGCUCAACCCAGGAACUGCGUUUGAUACGGCCGCGCUCGAGGAUGGAAGAGGGCCGCGGAAUUCCCAGUGUAGAGGUGAAAUUCGUAGAUAUUGGGAAGAACACCGGUGGCGAAGGCGGCGGCCUGGUCCAUUACUGACGCUGAGGCGCGACAGCGUGGGGAGCAAACAGG
rnacentral:rRNA from 1 species